rnacentral:misc_RNA from 1 species
ACAAGUUUGCAAAAACUUUUGAUUGUGUGUGAACUGUUAUACUGUAGAACCGUGUGUGCGUUGGUUGCGCAUGGUGUUGGCCCUUGGGUCAUGCACCGCACUGAUGCACACCGGAAUCCAACUUGAACCAACUUUGAAACUGAUUGACUGAAGUAAAAAGAGUAAACCUAGA